rnacentral:lncRNA from 1 species
AGUAAACAUCAUCGCACCUGUACUCCUCCGUCAACUCUGUCACCGCCGCUACUGACUAUACGAAUAUGAGCCUCGCAGCCGUGGGAGAGUUACCUGAGAAACAGAACGAAGAAAAGAUCAGAAGCCGUUGCUGUUGAUUCUCGGAAACCGAAUCCCUGUCGAACUCCUCGUCAAGCCAUUCCGUCUUUGAUCGAGCGAGCGAGAACAAUCCGUCGAACUAGAACAGAGAGAGGUAUAGAUCGGGAGCGGCUGUCAUCACUGGUCGUCGUCGCCGCCGCUUCAAUCCAUCGAAAUCCCCCAAAAACCCUAGACGUCGAGGCACCGAUCGGAGAGCCCAAUCCGAUCGAGAGCCAGAUCUCUCCGAGCCCUCUAUCAGCACCGCUGUGGUUG